rnacentral:rRNA from 1 species
UACGUAGGUGGCAAGCGUUGUCCGGAUUUACUGGGCGUAAAGAGCGCGCAGGCGGUCCUUUAAGUCUGAUGUGAAAGCCCACGGCUCAACCGUGGAGGGUCAUUGGAAACUGGGGGACUUGAGUACAGAAGAGGAAAGCGGAAUUCCACGUGUAGCGGUGAAAUGCGUAGAGAUGUGGAGGAACACCAGUGGCGAAGGCGGCUUUCUGGUCUGUAACUGACGCUGAGGCGCGAAAGCGUGGGGAGCAAGCAGG